AAAAACAUCAUCGAUCUCUCAACCACACAAAAACUGUAAAAAACGAUAUUAAUUAUAAAUAAAUAAACUUUAAGUGGCUACAAAUUUAAUCAUUUACAUGGGUGUACGACCAAACUUUCUAUGGUCGACACUAGCUACAUAGACUUUAUUUGCUUUACAAGAUUAAGAGCUUGCACCAAUCUUACUCCUUAAGCUCAAUUGCCGCUAUAUGCAUACAAAUAUAUAUUAGCAAUUGCACCAUGAAGGGCCAGUGCAACACGAACUACGUGGCCCACAAAACUCAUCGACUCACGAGCAAUUUCCCUUGCCGGUGCCAGGGAUGUUUGUGCAAGGAUUACUCCCAGAUGAUGGCACAGGCCCUCUCUGUAGGGCCUGAAGCAGCGGAACAUGACUCGCUAGCCAUUUCUCUCCAUUGAGAGGUCUCGUCGCAUUGCAAACUUGUACAUUUGUUGAAGUGAACAACAAUAUCAUGAAAAUGAAUAGCUUUGCUAAGAGACUCUUAGGGAACACCAUUUUUGCAAAGAAAAUUGAAAUCUGGUUGUGGUUGUGGUGGUAGUUGUGGUUAAUAUGGAACUAUGGAAUUGCUUUUUGUGAGCUAG
rnacentral:lncRNA from 1 species